rnacentral:lncRNA from 1 species
CCAAAACACCCUUAUUAAAAGAAAAACAGGAGAGAUUUUUGCUAAAAAUUUUCCUUAUGAGCUGCUAACUCUAGCCUAAACUCCAGUACAACGUGAAUUCUUUAUUGUUGAUGAAAGUGUUAUUUUGAAGGCAAAGAUUUUUACAUUUAGUCUUAUUGCAGUGAUCAUUUCUUUAAAAAUGUUUGAAUUUUCUCAUCUUGCGCCAUCAGCAGCUCAUAAUAUCACUAGUUUUGCUCUUUACCUAAAGUAUUAUUUUUUUCUCCAAAAUUUUAGUUAGCUGUUUGUAAUAUAAUUUUAAGAUUUGUUUUGCAAUUAUUUUUGUCCUCAAAGUGUAUUUCA